UUUGAGAGCAAAGAUGAUGAUGUUGCUGCUGAACGUGAUGCUGAUUUAUUGAGCUUUGAUAGCUCUUGCUGUUUUCCCCAAUUUUGAAGUUUACUUGUUAAAUUCACUUUCUCUGAAGUUAAAAAAAAAAAAAAAAAAAUAGAGCUUUUGAACUGAAUGGGUUGUGGCAAAGAUUAUGAGGGAAACAGAAGACGACUGGAAUUUUGAUGCAUAAUAUGAGUUGAGUCAGCCACCUCUAAAUGAUGAAAUAGUUUUCAUUAGUAGUUGGCACUUGGCAUCCAUCAGUGGAGGAGACAGAGAAAGGAACUUGAUAGGAUUUUUGGUUAUCUUUGAAGCCAAACCCACUCAAGGGAGAACAAAGAAGAUGUGAAAGCAAGGGAUAAAAAGCACAGGACACAGUAAAAAUUUUCAUCAGAAACUAAGAAAACCGAUGCAACAAAAAAAUUCAACAGGUAAGCGUUUCAAGAUUUCACAGUAAAUUGCCUUCCUUACAUUAAGCAAGAGGACAUUCUUUUUAAUCCAUUGGGUUAGAAAUUGAUCUUAUUUUAUCUAUACUAUGCCAAUUAAAGAGGAGCAUCUCCUAUGCUUAGGAUUCUUUGC
rnacentral:misc_RNA from 1 species